rnacentral:misc_RNA from 1 species
CCAAACUUGGUCAUUUAGAGGAAGUAAAAGUCGUAACAAGGUCUCCGUAGGUGAACCGUAAGUCAAUGUCCAUCAAAUCGCCGUCUCAAUUGGAACGGAUGCUAACCGAUUCGCAGUGCGGAGGGAUCAUUAAAAGAGAUAGGGUCUCCGGGCCCGACCUCCAACCCCUUGUAAACCGAACCUUUGUUGCCUCGGGGGCGACCCGGCCCCCGCCGGGGCCCCCGACGGACCACUCAACUCUGCAUCUAUGCGUCGGAUUGUCACAGCAAAUUGAUUAAAAACUUUCAACAACGGAUCUCUUGGUUCCGGCAUCGAUGAAGAACGCAGC